UUGCANUGGGGGAACCCUGAUGCAGCGACGCCGCGUGAGUGAUGAAGCCCUUCGGGGUGUAAAGCUCUUUCGGCAGGAACGAUUAUGACGGUACCUGAAGAAGAAGCUGCGGCUAACUACGUGCCAGCAGCCGCGGUAAUACGUAGGCAGCAAGCGUUGUUCGGAGUUACUGGGCGUAAAGAGUGUGUAGGCGGUUCUCUAAGUUCGGUGUGAAAUCUCCCGGCUCAACUGGGAGGGUGCGCCGGAAACUGGAGGGCUUGAGUAUGGGAGAGGAAAGCGGAAUUCCUGGUGUAGCGGUGAAAUGCGUAGAUAUCAGGAGGAACACCUGCGGUGUAGACAGCUUUCUGGACCAUCACUGACGCUGAGACACGAAAGCGUGGGUAGCAAACAGGAUUAGAUACCCUGGUAGUCCACGCCCUAAACGAUGCAUACUUGGUGUGAGCCGUUCAUUCGGUUCGUGCCGGAGCUAACGCGAUAAGCAUCCCGCCUGGGGAGUACGGUCGCAAGGCUAAAACUCAAAAGAAUUGACGGA
rnacentral:rRNA from 1 species